UACGUAGGGGGCAAGCGUUGUCCGGAAUUAUUGGGCGUAAAGAGCUCGUAGGCGGUUCGGCAAGUCGGAUGUGAAAUCUCCACGCUCAACGUGGAGGGGCCAUUCGAAACUGCCGUGACUCGAGUCCGGUAGGGGAGUGCGGAAUUCCCGGUGUAGCGGUGAAAUGCGCAGAUAUCGGGAGGAACACCAGUGGCGAAGGCGGCACUCUGGGCCGGAACUGACGCUGAGGAGCGAAAGCGUGGGGAGCGAACAGG
rnacentral:rRNA from 1 species